GAUUUUAUGAGCUGUAGUUUCACAGCGUCGUUGUUCUCCUUCCCAUCCCAUCAUUCUUCGUCUUUCCCCCAAUGCUGUAAUUCUCUUUCUCUUUGUAUUCAUUCCUUUCUAACCUUUCAUUCUAACCCUCAUUCCUCAAUCACCUUCUUCUUUCUCUUCAACUUGUUGGGUCUUUUACAUAGCCCAACCCUUUUCAGGGUCUGGGUUUCCUUCUCAAUUCUCUUUCUCCACACCCCAUUCAACCAACUUCAUUCUUCACUCCUUUUUUCUUUCGUGGGUUUCGUUGCAAAUUCUCUUAAAUGCAUCUGAUUUGUGUUUCCAACAGAGACCUCAUAUAUUGAGUUCACAGGUUUGAAUGAAAGGAGAAAAAAAAAGCAUUUUUUAAUUCUUUUUUUUUGUGUUUUUACCUGAAUAUAAAUUCUGGGUUUUAUCUGGUUUUCCAUAUCUGGGGUUGGGUUGCUUUGUGUUGUGGGUUUUCAGCUCUGUUUAUUUUUUUGUUUUAAUUUGUUAAGUUUGGUUGUGGACUAGGGUUUUCUUGGGUGGAAGGGUGCUUGUAUUUUGGAGGGUGGUAUUCUAUUUUUCAAUGGUUUUUGGAUUUGUGUAUUUGAGGUUCUUGUCUUGGUGAAUUGUUUCAGUGGUUUUGAGAUUCGGGUUUUUGAGUUUGAAGGUGUUGGAGUUGGUUUUGCAGUGAUUUUGUUGAGAUAUGAAUCGUAGAGUGAGGAGGAAGGUGGCAAGGAGAAGCAAAGGGAAUGUGGUGCUGCCUAGUUUCCCUGAAAUUCAAGACGAAGUUUUGGAUUCAGAACAACAAGGGGUUGUUGAUUGGAGAAGCUUACCUGAUGAUACAGUAAUUCAGCUAUUGUCUUGUCUGAGUUAUCGAGAUCGAGCUAGCUUAUCGUCAACUUGUAGGACAUGGAGGUUUCUUGGUAGCUCCCCGUGUUUGUGGAAUGCUCUGGAUCUUCGUUCCCACAGGUUUGAUGCCAGCAUGGCAUCAUCACUUGCUCCUAGGUGUGUGCAUCUUCAGAAGCUUAGGUUUCGUGGGGCAGAGUCUGCUGAUGCAAUAAUUCAUCUUCGAGCAAGGAACUUACAAGAAAUAAGUGGCGACUAUUGCAGGAAAAUUACUGAUGCAACUCUUUCGGUGAUUGCGGCUCGGCAUGAGUUACUUGAGAGUCUUCAGCUUGGACCAGAUUUCUGUGAGAGAAUCAGUAGUGAUGCUAUUAAAGCCAUAGCUCAUUGCUGUUCUAGAUUAAAUAAACUUAGGCUCUCGGGCAUCAGGGAUGUAAAUGCUGAUGCUAUUAAUGCCUUGGCUAAGCAUUGUCCAAAUUUGACUGAUAUUGGGUUUAUUGACUGCCUGAAUGUUGACGAGCUUGCAUUGGGAAACGUGUUAUCGGUUCGAUUCCUUUCUGUUGCAGGAACAUCAAGUACGAAGUGGAAUGUGGUUUCCCAUCUUUGGCAUAAGCUUCCAAACCUGCUUGGAUUAGAUGUUUCCAGAACUGAUAUUGGUCCAUCUGCUGUUUCCAGAUUGUUAUCCUUAUCACAGCAUUUGAGGGUUUUAAUUGCUUUGAAUUGUCCUAUCCUUGAAGAAGACACUAGCUUCUCCGCUAGUAAAUAUAAAAACAAGUUAUUAAUUUCCCUUUUUACUGAUAUUUUUAAAGGACUAGCUUCUUUAUUUUUUGAUAAUACAAAGAGAGGAAAGAAUGUGUUUUUGGACUGGAGGACUUCCAAGAAUAAUGAUAAGGACCUUAAUGAAAUUAUUCCCUGGCUUGAGUGGAUGCUAUCCCAUACGCUUUUGCGUUCCGCUGAGAGUCCUCAACAAGGUCUUGAUAAUUUCUGGGUUGAACAAGGUGGAGCGCUUUUGCUUAGUCUAAUGCAGAGUUCUCAAGAGGAUGUUCAAGAGAGGGCAGCCACAGGUCUUGCAACUUUUGUUGUAAUUGAUGAUGAAAAUGCUAGCAUAGAUUGUGGAAGGGCUGAGGCAGUUAUGCGAGAUGGUGGCAUUCGCCUGCUACUUGGCCUAGCAAAAUCUUGGAGGGAAGGGCUUCAGUCUGAGGCGGCUAAGGCCAUUGCAAAUUUGUCCGUCAAUGCCAAUGUGGCCAAAGCUGUUGCAGAAGAGGGUGGGAUUGAGAUUCUUGCUGGUUUGGCUAGGUCAAUGAACAAGCUGGUGGCUGAAGAAGCUGCUGGAGGAUUGUGGAAUCUCUCUGUUGGAGAAGAGCACAAGGGUGCCAUUGCUGAAGCUGGGGGAAUACAAGCUUUAGUGGAUCUUAUAUUCAAGUGGUCCUCUAGUGGAGAUGGAGUUUUAGAACGUGCAGCAGGUGCAUUGGCUAAUUUGGCAGCUGAUGACAAGUGUAGUACAGAGGUUGCACUGGCAGGAGGUGUACAUGCUCUGGUGAUGCUUGCUCGUAACUGCAAAUUUGAGGGAGUGCAAGAGCAGGCUGCUCGUGCAUUGGCUAAUUUAGCUGCUCAUGGAGAUAGCAACAGUAACAAUGCUGCUGUUGGACAAGAAGCAGGUGCCCUUGAGGCUCUUGUUCAGCUUACACGUUCUCCCCAUGAGGGUGUCAGGCAAGAAGCUGCUGGUGCACUCUGGAAUUUGUCAUUUGACGAUAGAAAUCGAGAGGCCAUUGCAGCAGCUGGUGGAGUUCAGGCCUUGGUUGCUCUUGCCCAAUCUUGUUCUAAUGCCUCUGCUGGACUUCAAGAGAGGGCUGCUGGUGCUUUGUGGGGAUUGUCAGUCUCUGAAGCCAAUAGAAACUGGGCACAACAUGGACAUUUUGACAUGACUAUACUAUAUGCAGUGAAAAAGCUUAGUUUCUCAGUGUUGCAAAGCUUUUUAGUGGUGAUAAUUAUUCUGUUGUGGCACUACAUGGCGCAACUGUAUGAAUGGGGAUGUGUAACCAUGGAAACAAUGUCUUUAUUCAGUUAAUUUGCUAGGAGGGGAGGGUGAUUGUUCUGCUGGGUCCUUUUGGAAUGUUGGGCUCUUGUGCAAUUGCAAUUGGUACAUUUUCUCUUGUAAGUGCUAAACUCAGUUGAUUAAAGUUUCAAUUUGAGGCUGACUUAUCGUUUGAAAUGGAAAUGUAAUUCAACUGCUGAUGGGAAAGAAAGUACGAGUUAACUAACCUCUUUAGGAAAGAAAAUUCUGGCUGGAGAUUAGGUUUGUCGGACUUGGAUAGAGCACUAAUCAGUAGGCUAAAAGUUAUAACCAAUAAUCAAGGUGCAACUUUUUUCUAUUUAAUUGCACUUUUUAUUAUACUAUAAUUAAUCAGACUUCCACCAAACUUGGCCUUGUCAAUGCAGAAUACUACCCAAAGUUACCCACCCCCCUCCCAUCUAGAACUUGCCUCUGACAGUUGUGUCUUUCUAGGAAUUGAUGUCAUGACCUUGAUUCUUAUACCACUUGUUGGAUUGAGCACUUACUACUUGGCCAAAGCUAUAUAUAGCUAAUUGUUUCCUUUUAUAGUAGGUAUGUGGGAAAAUGAUGACUCAGCUAGAUCUGAAGAAUGAAGGAAAAAAAUUAGAGGGUUAUAAACAAGGUGUACAUAUGGAAUAUGUGUUAAUUGGAAGGAGACUGAUAAUUUGCUAUAUUGGAAUGGAAUUUCAAUGUUCUGUUUAGGGGUCUCCCACCCUGGCCCUGCCAAAAACCCGCCAUAAAGCUGUUAGUCUUGCAUUGCCAUUGGACGAGAAGGAGGUGUUGCACCUCUGAUUGCACUGGCACGAUCAGAAGCAGAGGAUGUUCAUGAAACUGCUGCAGGAGCACUAUGGAAUCUUGCUUUCAACCCUGG